CUCGUAGGCGGCCAACUAAGUCGGACGUGAAAUCCCUCGGCUUAACCGGGGAACUGCGUCCGAUACUGGAUGGCUUGAGUUCGGGAGAGGGAUGCGGAAUUCCAGGUGUAGCGGUGAAAUGCGUAGAUAUCUGGAGGAACACCGGUGGCGAAGGCGGCAUCCUGGACCGACACUGACGCUGAGGAGCGAAAGCCAGGGGAGCAAACGG
rnacentral:rRNA from 1 species